rnacentral:lncRNA from 1 species
CUUUCUUGCUGCCUGAAGCACAACUUCCCUUGGGGCUAAACAAGUUCAAAACAAGAACUGCAAGAAAGGAGAAGUGCCUUCUGUUUGGACAGGUUCAGCCAAUUUCAGGUCAGACUAAGGACUUGAGGAUCCUCAUCACUCUUUCCUUGCAGGUCCAGGUAAUCCCACAGGAGUCUGGCCAAACUCCAUAAAGCUCCAUGGAAGCAGACUGGGACACUUCACUGAGGUGAGGCUGAAACUGGAC